UACGUAGGGUGCGAGCGUUGUCCGGAAUUAUUGGGCGUAAAGAGCUCGUAGGCGGUUUGUCGCGUCUGCUGUGAAAACUCGAGGCCCAACCUCGGGCUUGCAGUGGGUACGGGCAGACUAGAGUGCGGUAGGGGUGACUGGAAUUCCUGGUGUAGCGGUGGAAUGCGCAGAUAUCAGGAGGAACACCGAUGACGAAGGCAGGUCACUGGGCCGCAACUGACGCUGAGGAGCGAAAGCAUGGGGAGCGAACAGG
rnacentral:rRNA from 1 species